rnacentral:rRNA from 1 species
CUGUGAGGGUUGCUGGAGGUAUCAGAAGUGCGAAUGCUGACAUAAGUAACGAUAAAGCGGGUGAAAAGCCCGCUCGCCGGAAGACCAAGGGUUCCUGUCCAACGUUAAUCGGGGCAGGGUGAGUCGACCCCUAAGGCGAGGCCGAAAGGCGUAGUCGAUGGGAAACGGGUUAAUAUUCCCGUACUUGGUGUUACUGCGAAGGGGGGACGGAGAAGGCUAUGUUGGCCGGGCGACGGUUGUCCCGGUUUAAGCGUGUAGGUGUGUGUUCCAGGUAAAUCCGGUUCACUUUAACACUGAGGCGUGACGACGAGGCACUACGGUGCUGAAGCAACAAAUGCCCUGCUUCCAGGAAAAGCCUCUAAGCAUCAGGUAACAUCAAAUCGUACCCCAAACCGACACAGGUGGUCAGGUAGAGAAUACCAAGGCGCUUGAGAGAACUCGGGUGAAGGAACUAGGCAAAAUGGUGCCGUAACUUCGGGAGAAGGCACGCUGACACGUAGGUGAAGUGAUUUACUCACGGAGCUGAAGUCAGUCGAAGAUACCAGCUGGCUGCAACUGUUUAUUAAAAACACAGCACUGUGCAAACACGAAAGUGGACGUAUACGGUGUGACGCCUGCCCGGUGCCGGAAGGUUAAUUGAUGGGGUCAGCGCAAGCGAAGCUCCUGAUCGAAGCCCCGGUAAACGGCGGCCGUAACUAUAACGGUCCUAAGGUAGCGAAAUUCCUUGUCGGGUAAGUUCCGACCUGCACGAAUGGCGUAAUGAUGGCCAGGCUGUCUCCACCCGAGACUCAGUGAAAUUGAACUCGCUGUGAAGAUGCAGUGUACCCGCGGCAAGACGGAAAGACCCCGUGAACCUUUACUAUAGCUUGACACUGAACAUUGAGCCUUGAUGUGUAGGAUAGGUGGGAGGCUUUGAAGUGUGGACGCCAGUCUGCAUGGAGCCGACCUUGAAAUACCACCCUUUAAUGUUUGAUGUUCUAACGUGGACCCGUGAUCCGGGUUGCGGACAGUGUCUGGUGGGUAGUUUGACUGGGGCGGUCUCCUCCUAAAGAGUAACGGAGGAGCACGAAGGUUGGCUAAUCCUGGUCGGACAUCAGGAGGUUAGUGCAAUGGCAUAAGCCAGCUUGACUGCGAGCGUGACGGCGCGAGCAGGUGCGAAAGCAGGUCAUAGUGAUCCGGUGGUUCUGAAUGGAAGGGCCAUCGCUCAACGGAUAAAAGGUACUCCGGGGAUAACAGGCUGAUACCGCCCAAGAGUUCAUAUCGACGGCGGUGUUUGGCACCUCGAUGUCGGCUCAUCACAUCCUGGGGCUGAAGUAGGUCCCAAGGGUAUGGCUGUUCGCCAUUUAAAGUGGUACGCGAGCUGGGUUUAGAACGUCGUGAGACAGUUCGGUCCCUAUCUGCCGUGGGCGCUGGAGAACUGAGGGGGGCUGCUCCUAGUACGAGAGGACCGGAGUGGACGCAUCACUGGUGUUCGGGUUGUCAUGCCAAUGGCACUGCCCGGUAGCUAAAUGCGGAAGAGAUAAGUGCUGAAAGCAUCUAAGCACGAAACUUGCCCCGAGAUGAGUUCUCCCUGAGACUUAGAGUCUCCUGAAGGAACGUUGAAGACGACGACGUUGAUAGGCCGGGUGUGUAAGCGCAGCGAUGCGUUGAGCUAACCGGUACUAAUGAACCGUGAGGCUUAACCUUACAACGCCGAAG